UACGUAGGGGGCUAGCGUUGUCCGGAAUCAUUGGGCGUAAAGCGCACGUAGGCGGCCUAGCAAGUAGGGAGUGAAAGCCCUCGGCUUAACCGAGGAAGUGCUUUCUAAACUACUAGGCUUGAAUACUGGAGAGGGUCGCGGAAUUCCCGGUGUAGAGGUGAAAUUCGUAGAUAUCAGGAAGAACACCUAUGGCGAAGGCAGCUCUCUGGGACGGUACUGACGCUGAGACGCGAAAGCGUGGGGAGCGAACAGG
rnacentral:rRNA from 1 species